GGGCUUGGCGGCAGCUUACCAUGCAGUCGAGCGGAACGAUGGGAGCUUGCUCCCAGGCGUCGAGCGGCGGACGGGUGAGUAACACUUAGGAAUCUACCUAGUAGUGGGGGAUAGCUCGGGGAAACUCGAAUUAAUACCGCAGACGUCCUACGGGAGAAAGGGGGCAGUUUACUGCUCUCGCUAUUAAAUGAGCCUAAAUCGGAUUAUCUAUAUGGUGGGGUAAAGGCCUACCAAGGCGACAAUCUGUAGCUGGUCUGAGAGGAUGAUCAGCCACACCGGGACUGAGACACGGCCCGGACUCCUACGGGAGGCACCAGUGGGGAAUAUUGGACAAUGGGGGGAACCCUGAUCCACCCCUGCCCCGUGUGUGAAAAAGGCCUUUUGGUUGUAAAGCACUUUAAGCAGUGAAAAACACCUAACGGUUAAUACCCGUUAGCGAUGACAUUAUCUGCAGAAUAAGCACCGGCUAACUCUGUGCCAGCACCCGCGGUAAUACAGAGGGUGCAAGCGUUAAUCGGAAUUACUGGGCGUAAAGCGAGCGUAUGUGGCUUGAUAAGUCACAUGUGAAAUCCCCGGGCUUAACCUGGGAACUGCAUCUGAUACUGUUAAGCUAGAGUACGUGAGAGGGAAGUAUAAUUCCACGUGUAGCGGUGAAAUGCGUAGAGAUCUGGAGGAAUACCGAUGGCGAAGCGGCUUCCUGGCAUCAUACUGACACUGAGGCUCGAAAGCGUGUGUAGCAAACACGAGUAGAUACCCUGGUAGUCCACGCCGUAACGAUGUCUACUAGUCUUGGGUCCCUUGAGGACUUAUGACGCACUCACGCAAUAAGUAGACCGCCGGGGAGUACAGCCGCAUGUGAAACUCACUGAGUUGACGGGGGCCCGCACAGCGUGAGCAUGUGUUU
rnacentral:rRNA from 1 species